CAGCAGCAGCCACGGGAAUACAGAGGGUGCGAGCGUUAAUCGGAUUUACUGGGCGUAAAGCGUGCGUAGGCGGCUUUUUAAGUCGGAUGUGAAAUCCCUGAGCUUAACUUAGGAAUUGCAUUCGAUACUGGGAAGCUAGAGUAUGGGAGAGGAUGGUAGAAUUCCAGGUGUAGCGGUGAAAUGCGUAGAGAUCUGGAGGAAUACCGAUGGCGAAGGCAGCCAUCUGGCCUAAUACUGACGCUGAGGUACGAAAGCAUGGGGAGCAAACAGGAUUAGAUACCCGCGUAGUCCCUGUCUCUUAUAA
rnacentral:rRNA from 1 species